AGCCCUUGACAUACCGAUCGCGACCCUUAGAGAUUUGGGUCUUCAGUUAGGCUGGAUCGGAUAC
rnacentral:rRNA from 1 species